UAUUGUUUGGAAAUUGUACCGCAGUCCAAGUUAGAAAACAUCUGGGCCCAAGCCAGUCGAGCGCCGCCCGUACGCCGCGUCCGCAGCCACGCGCCCGAGGCCGAGCUCCCGAGCGCGCCGCCGCCUCGACCUCGCGACCCGCCGGCGACCGGAUCCUCGCCGGAGAUGAGUGCCGCUGUGCCCUGCUCCACCCUCUAUUCCUCUGUCUCCUUUCACCUCGCUCAUCCCCCGAUUUCUCUGUCCCCAGGACGAACAGGAGCAUGCCAUGGCCUCGGAUCCGCGCCGCCGUCGCCGGAGAACGUCGUCCGCCACCGGUUCUUCGAUCACAACUACCGGAUCAAGUUGCCCCGCCUCCGAUCUACCCGUUCCCGGCCACCCCAACCUCGCCUCGUCGUCGGGCGCGCAGAGAGACGGCCAUGGCCGCAAGAUUCCCGAGCGCCGCCGGCCAAGGUGGCCGACCGUGGCCGCCCGAUGCCCGAGCGCCGCCGGCCAAGGACACGCCGGCGGCGCGUCAACUGUGUGCCGCCCUCCAAACAGGUCGCCGCUGCACCCCCACCUCGCCCGGCCUCUCCUACGGCCCUGGCCUCCCGCUCUUCACUCAUCUGCCCGGCGGCGGGAAGUUACAGGCGUUGGAGUCCCUUCUGGUCACUGGUGAUUUAGACUUUGUCAUCGGGACAUGUGAAGCAAAGGUCUACAUUUUUAGAGCAAUCCCAGACUAUGAAAGCGACCAAACUUCCGAUGACUCUGAGGAUGAAUAGAAGUGAAGAUGUGUGCUUGCAAUACAAUGUUCGAUCGGAGCGCAGUUUGUUAGAGAAGCAAUUUCUUCGAUGAUGCUGGAGACUCGGCUAAUGCAGUUUCGUGCUGGUUGCAUGUAGAAUCGCCGCACUCUCGGUCUCAGUGUAGCAGGAUUUUUAACCUAGAUAGGAGUAGUAGGUAGCAGAUCGUGGUGCAGACCUUGUAUGGGUUGAACAAUGAACUAAUGCAUCUAGGCUGAUGAUGAUGGUCUCGAGUGCAUUUUUCAUGACCGUUCCUGUUUGUUUGAGGUGCCUUUGUCUCUGUCACAGAUGGGAUGGGUUUUCUCUUCAAUGGUGGGUGCUGAACAGAUGACUGUCAGCUAUGGUCGAGGAUCGAUUAUGGUAAUUUCGACUCGUAGAAGGGCAGGAGAAUCAUACCGGGUUGGACUAACAAGACUGACAGUUCUUCAGACGAUGUAGCAAAAGCUUGGGCUGGAAUCCAUGCAAUUCCCGGGACAAUUUGGUUAGACAGCCAUGGCAAGCAGUUGCUUCACUAGCCAGUUCAAGAGGUCGAGUCCCUUCGAGGAAAUGAAAUCAACCGUCAUGGACUAGAGCUGAAGAAAGGAGGUUUAUUUGAGAUUAAGGGAGCUGACAGUUUUCAGUUCUUCAUUAAGACUAGGACUAUACACACCAGCCUAUGGAGGCUUCUUUGAAUCUGAUCUUCAAAAGGAAAAGAAGAUAUCUCUGAGAACUCUGAUUGAUCCAUCAGCGGUGGAGAGCUUCGGCGGUGGCAGCAGGGUCUGCAUCAUGGCCAUAGUUUAUCCCGUAGAGGUUGUCGACAACGGGGCCCACAUGUAUGCCUUCAACAACGGCAAUACCACGAUCAGAGCACAUAAAUAGGGAAAAUAUAGCUGCUGAUUUCCUUAACCUCUAGGAUUGAUCAUAUCUUAUAGUUUAUUGUCAGUGUUAGUAGGGAACUGCCCGAGUAUUGCAUAUUUAGUUUGUGCAAGUCUGCUAA